UACGAAGGGGGCUAGCGUUGCUCGGAAUCACUGGGCGUAAAGCGCACGUAGGCGGCUUCUUAAGUCAGGGGUGAAAUCCUGGGGCUCAACCCCAGAACUGCCCUUGAUACUGAGGAGCUUGAGUCCGGGAGAGGUGAGUGGAACUCCGAGUGUAGAGGUGAAAUUCGUAGAUAUUCGGAAGAACACCAGUGGCGAAGGCGGCUCACUGGCCCGGUACUGACGCUGAGGUGUGAAUGCGUGGGGAGCAAACAGA
rnacentral:rRNA from 1 species